rnacentral:rRNA from 1 species
AUUGAACGCUGGCGGCAGGCCUCACACAUGCAAGUCGAGCGGAGCGGCGGACGGGUGAGUGAUGCCUAGGCAUCUGCCUGGUAGUGGGGGAUACCGUCCGGAAACGGGCGCUAAUACCGCAUACUAUCAGAUGAGCCUAGGUCGGAUUAGCUAGUUGGUGGGGUAAAGGCCUACCAGGGCCACGAUCCGUAACUGGUCUGAGAGGAUGAUCAGUCACACUGUAACUGAGACACGUUCCAGACUCCUACGGGAGGCAGCAGUAGGGAAUAUUGGGCAAUGGGCGACAGCCUGACCCAGCCAUGCCGCGUGAGUGAAGAAGGUCUUCGGAUUGUAAAGCACUUUAAGUUGGGAGGCGUUACCAACAGAAUAAGCACCGGCUAACUUCGUGCCAGCAGCCGCGGUAAUAC